AUUGAACGCUGGCGGCAGGCUUAACACAUGCAAGUCGAGCGGGGAAAAGUAGCUUGCUACUUAACCUAGCGGCGGACGGGUGAGUAAUGCUUAGGAAUCUGCCUAUUAGUGGGGGACAACAUCUCGAAAGGGAUGCUAAUACCGCAUACGUCCUACGGGAGAAAGCAGGGGACCUUCGGGCCUUGCGCUAAUAGACGAGCCUAAGUCGGAUUAGCUAGUUGGUGGGGUAAAGGCCUACCAAGGCGACGAUCUGUAGCGGGUCUGAGAGGAUGAUCCGCCACACUGGGACUGAGACACGGCCCAGACUCCUACGGGAGGCAGCAGUGGGGAAUAUUGGACAAUGGGGGGAACCCUGAUCCAGCCAUGCCGCGUGUGUGAAGAAGGCCUUUUGGUUGUAAAGCACUUUAAGCGAGGAGGAGGCUACCGAGAUUAAUACUCUUGGAUAGUGGACGUUACUCGCAGAAUAAGCACCGGCUAACUCUGUGCCACCCGCCGCCGUAAAAC
rnacentral:rRNA from 1 species